AAUUAGAGAGCUUGUAUUUAAGCAUUCGACUUUUAAUCGAAAUAAAGUAUUUACUUCUAAUUA
rnacentral:tRNA from 1 species